UUUGUUAGUGGCCUGGAGUCUUACAUUGAGGAUGAAGACAGUUUCAGGAACUGCCUUUUGUCUUGUGAGCGUCUGCAGGAUGAGGAAGCCAGUAUGGGUACAUCUUAUUCUAAGAGUCUCAUCAAACUGCUUCUGGGGAUUGACAUACUGCAGCCUGCCAUUAUCAAAACCUUAUUUGAGAAGUUGCCAGAAUAUUUUUUUGAAAACAAGAACAGUGAUGAAAUCAACAUACCUCGACUCAUUGUCAGUCAGCUAAAAUGGCUGGACAGAGUUGUGGAUGGCAAGGACCUCACCACCAAGAUCAUGCAGCUGAUCAGUAUUGCUCCAGAGAACCUGCAGCAUGACAUCAUCACCAGCCUACCUGAGAUCCUAGGGGAUUCCCAGCACGCUGAUGUGGGGAAAGAACUCAGGUGAUUCACUCUAAUGCACAGUCCUGCAUCAGGCCCCUUGCGGAGACCCAUUGCUUACUGUCAUUCAUUUGAAAAAUAGUAAUUGGUAGGGCAGUAUUGAAGAAGGGGAGAACAAUAUCCCUAGGUAAUAAAGUUUCCAUCUUAAUGC
rnacentral:sRNA from 1 species